ensembl:lncRNA
GUGUUCCCCAGACUCAGAGCACAGCGAGCAGUAAUAGCAAACCCUGGUUCCUUCACGUCUCCUGGCAACCAGUUUCGAAAUCCAUUAAGACCCUUGGAAUUCGGGAUUUAGCCUCUCUCUCCCUCUCUCCCUUCCUUCCCUUCUUUCCUUCUUCUUUCUCUCUCUCUCUUUCUCUCCUUCCUAGGAGUUCAGGGGGAAUUUUUUUUUUAAUCACUGUGAAGCCUUAAAUCUUAAUUUCCAGUGUGUGAAGACUACGUUUUUUUGUGGAAUUAAAUGAAAGUUUUCACAGGAGUUAGAAGAUCCUAUUUGAAAAUUCAGGGAUCGCAGUGCAUAAAGUGAAAUCUAAAAGCCCUGGAGUGUGAAACGUUACUUAUCAUUAUAUUUAUGGUGCCACAAAGAGCGAUAAGAAGGGUGCUGGUAAGGCUGAUGAGCGCUGAUGCCUGAAGCUGUAACAUCUCCGGAAGCCCCAAUUUGCCUUUUUCAUCCUCAUAAAUGAGAGAGAUUGCUCUUUGAGGCCUCGGCUUUCAACAAAGCAAAAAAAAAAAAAAAAAAAAAAAAAAGAAAGAAAGAAAGAAAAAAAGACCAAAAAAGCGAACUCGGGAUGAUGGCAUCGGGGAUACAAGUUGGCUACAAUUUUCUGCCGAAAGAGGGCGUUGGUCUAAGACGAAUAGAAAUUCGUGGACGCGGACGCCCAGUCAAAUGAAAGACCUUUGAAAACAUUUUCUAAUUUAUUUUAAUUCUUGGGUCUUAAAUAUCAGAAUUCACCAAUCCAAUAUAGCACGUUCAUACUGCAAAUGACCUCGGCGUGUUACCACGAUCGAAGGUCAAGUUCCCUUCGAACCUGCCCCGCAGCUCGGCGGACCCUGGCGAGGCUCCUCCGGCCACCGACUUCUCCACGACCGUGUCCAUCCUCGUUUCCCCCGCUGCUGUGCCUGCCUGUGACAAGUGACAAGCGACUGAGUCUUGGCCGCAGGUCCUUCCUCCGCAUUGCAGGAGCCGGAACACCGGGGAGAAGCGCUGGGAUUUCCGAGCGCACGGAUGGCCGCUGAUGACGCGCCUGCACCCGGGGGACCCUCAGGGGUGAAGCUUUAGGGAGAAGGUCUCUUUGUUUAGUUACCUGGUUUAGCACAUAAAGCCCAGAGGACGCCUUGGAGAUGCUUUUCAAGCUUUCUGCUACCUUCAGAAGAACCGGUUUUCCUUUUGGAAGCAACAAGUUUCGCUUUUCUGCUCGCCGCGCGCCGCGGGAGAUGUGGGUGCGCUGGGACACUGGAUCCCGCGCGGCACGGCGACUCCGGCGCGAACCCGCGCGACUCGCGGGGAGGUGCUGCCAGGGGUGGGGAGCGGGGGAAGAAGGGGGGGCGAGGACGCCCUGGAAGCUGGGCGUUCCAGGCCCUCGACCCAGCCGUCUGCCCCGGGACCUUGGUCCCUGUCUCCUGACCUUGCGCCAGGGGACCGCGAAGGUCGAGAGCCCGUCCCAAGUUGGCGCGUCUGGAGAGAUUGUGGCUGGAGUGAGAGAGAGCCCUGAGCUGGAGACAGAGCUGCCGCGUGCCGGGCCCGGGAGAGGCGGGGACCCUGGUGACGGUGUAGCACUGUGGGGGCUUCCGCGGCUGUAGAAGUGAGCGAUUGCGGCUUUAAGGAAAAGGCAAAAGGGCUGGC